rnacentral:rRNA from 1 species
UACGAAGGGGGGCUAGCGUUGCUCGGAAUCACUGGGCGUAAAGGGUGCGUAGGCGGGUCUUUAAGUCAGGGGUGAAAAUCCUGGAGCUCAACUCCAGAACUGCCCUUUUGAUACUGAGGAUCUUGAGUUCGGGGAGAGGUGAGUGGAAACUGCGAGUGUAGAGGUGAAAAUUUCGUAGAUAUUCGGAAGAAACACCAGUGGCGAAGGCGACUUACUGGACACAUAUUUGACGCUGAGGUGCGAAAAGCGUGGGGGAGCAAA